UGGGGAAUAUUGCACAAUGGGGGAAACCCUGAUGCAGCGACGCAGCGUGCGGGAUGACGGCCUUCGGGUUGUAAACCGCUUUCAGCAGGGAAGAAGCCUCACGGUGACGGUACCUGCAGAAGAAGUACCGGCUAACUACGCGCCAGCAGCCGCGGUAAUACGUAGGGUACGAGCGUUGUCCGGAAUUAUUGGGCGUAAAGAGCUCGUAGGUGGUUGGUCACGUCUGCUGUGGAAACGCAACGCUUAACGUUGCGCGUGCAGUGGGUACGGGCUGACUAGAGUGCAGUAGGGGAGUCUGGAAUUCCUGGUGUAGCGGUGAAAUGCGCAGAUAUCAGGAGGAACACCGGUGGCGAAGGCGGGACUCUGGGCUGUAACUGACACUGAGGAGCGAAAGCAUGGGGAGCGAACA
rnacentral:rRNA from 1 species